GAUGAACGCUGGCGGCGUGCCUAAUACAUGCAAGUCGAGCGAACAGAUGAGGAGCUUGCUCCUCUAACGUUAGCGGCGGUCGGGUGAGUAACACGUGGAUAACCUACAUAUAAGACUGGGAUAACUUCGGGAAACCGGAGCUAAUACCGGAUAAUAUAUUGAACCGCAUGGUUCAAUAGUGAAAGACGGUUUUGCUGUCACUUAUAGAUGGAUCCGCGCCGCAUUAGCUAGUUGGGAAGGUAACGGCUUACCAAGGCGACGAUGCGUAGCCGAACUGAGAGGGUGAUCGGCCACACUGGAACUGAGACACGGUCCAGACUCCUACGGGAGGCAGCAGGAGGGAAUCUUGCGCAAUGGGCGAAAGCCUGACGGAGCAACGCCGCGUGAGUGAUGAAGGUCUGCGGAUCGUAAAACUCUGUUAUUAGGGAAGAACAAAUGUGUAAGUAACCAUGCACGUCUUGACGGUACCUAAUCAGAAAGCCACGGCGAACUACGU
rnacentral:rRNA from 1 species